rnacentral:rRNA from 1 species
AUGCGCAAUCCGCCGCCGCCGCCGCCGCCGCCGCAGCCCAACAUGGGAAAUGUGCCGUUGCCUUUGCAGCCGCCGCCCGCCAGGGCAAUCGAGCAGCUGCCUUCUUGGCAGCAUCAGCAGCAGCAGCAUCCGCUGCGCCCUUGGCAGUGUCCGCAGCAAGGCGGCGGGCAUCCGCAGCCGCCUAUGCAGUGGCCGCCGCAGCAGCCGCCGCCCGCCAGGGGAUACUCGCCUUCGCCUUCGCAUUCGCAACCGCUGCUGCCCAAUGUAUCCCAGAACCUCCACUUACGGUCUGUGCCUCAGCAGCAGGGCGACGAAGGCAGCGCGAGCAGGCCACAUUCGGAUCCGUGCAGCGCCUCAAAUCUCGACCGGGGAAAACAGCCCCUACUUGAUGAUAAAACCAAGGAUCAGAUGUGGCGCGAAGUGAAUCCUCGUCUGUCUCUACCACUGUUCUUGGCUCAGAAUGCUGGGAGUAUUCAAUUGCCGAGACUUUUAACUCGUGCAGGAGCUGCCAAGGGCAGUAUUCCAGAAGGAACAAUGAUAUAUCCCUUCUCUGGACCAGGAAGAUCAGUUUUUCGGGACUUGGUCUGGAAAGUCACUGAAAAACUGCUGAAAGAUCCCCAGUGGGAUGGGCAGUGGUCCUUUGAUGAUGUUGAGGUGGCGGAUGAAAGAUGUCAGCUUCUGGUUAGGGGGAUCAGAGAUGCUAGUUCUUCGAUAUCGAGUAGAGACACAGCAGCUCUGCGAAAUCUGCGACGAGAGUUUGUUUCUUACUUUGACACCCCACCAAGAAAGUCCCCUCCUUUCUUUCCUACCUUCCUUCAGUUGCUGGACAAUAUCCCAGCUAACUAUGAUGAUGAUGAGGAGGCAAGACAAAUGUUUUGGUGGCAGAGAAAGUUUGGGAUUAUUAAUAUUUGCUACCCUAUUUCUGAAGAGGAAACAUAA